AUUGAACGCUGGCGGCAGGCCUAACACAUGCAAGUAGAACGAGUGGCGGACGGGUGAGUAAUGUCUGGGAAACUGCCUGAUGGAGGGGGAUAACUACUGGAAACGGUAGCUAAUACCGCAUACAAUCGGUUUUGCCCAGAUGGGAUUAGGGAGUAGGGGGGGUAACGGCUAACCUAGGCGACGACCCCUAGCUGGUCGGAGAGGAUGACAAGCAAAACUGGAACUGAGACACGGUCCAGACUCCUACGGGAGGCAGCAGGGGGGAAUAUUGCACAAUGGGCGCAAGCCUGAUGCAGCCAUGCCGCGUGUAUGAAGAAGGCCUUCGGGUUGUAAAGUACUUUCAGCGGGGAGGCGUUACCCGCAGAAGAAGCACCGGCUAACUCCGUGCCAGCAGCCGCGGUAAUAC
rnacentral:rRNA from 1 species